rnacentral:rRNA from 1 species
CGUAUCACCCAAGACAACUUUACGGAGUUGACGAUUGACGGAGCGAAGCGACGUCAAAGCGUUCAUUAAAGUCGAGUUGGCUUAGGGAUACGUUCGUUGGGUAGGGGAGCGUUCUGUAAGCCUGUGAAGGUGUGUCGUGAGGCAUGCUGGAGGUAUCAGAAGUGCGAAUGCUGACAUAAGUAACGAUAAAGCGGGUGAAAAGCCCGCUCGCCGGAAGACCAAGGGUUCCUGUCCAACGUUAAUCGGGGCAGGGUGAGUCGACCCCUAAGGCGAGGCCGAAAGGCGUAGUCGAUGGGAAACGGGUUAAUAUUCCCGUACUUGGUGUUACUGCGAAGGGGGGACGGAGAAGGCUAUGUUGGCCGGGCGACGGUUGUCCCGGUUUAAGCGUGUAGGUGUGUGUUCCAGGUAAAUCCGGUUCACUUUAACACUGAGGCGUGACGACGAGGCACUACGGUGCUGAAGCAACAAAUGCCCUGCUUCCAGGAAAAGCCUCUAAGCAUCAGGUAACACGA